UGUGCACUCAGGGGGUCCCUCAGCCCAGAUUGCGAGAGGGUGCAGGCCAGGCCGAAGAACCCCACCAGUGCACA
rnacentral:pre_miRNA from 1 species